rnacentral:ncRNA from 22 species
AUAAAUUGUUGCGGGUGGACCAUUUUGAUUGGGAAGAUGAAACCUGGCCAUUUGAACUUGAUGUAGUUAACACUACCGUAGGGAGACAAAUUAAUAAAGAU